rnacentral:rRNA from 1 species
GUCGAGAAUAAUUCACAAUGGGGGCAACCCUGAUAGUGCAACGCCGCGUGGAGGAUGAAGGUCUUCGGAUUGUAAACUCCUGUCAUCCGGGAGUAAGACCUGGGCGUGAAGAGCGCACAGGGUUGAUAGUACCCGAAGAGGAAGGGACGGCUAACUUCGUGCCAGCAGCCGCGGUAAUACGAAGGUCCCAAGCGUUGUUCGGAAUCACUGGGCGUAAAGGGAGCGUAGGCGGCGUGGUAAGUCAGAUGUGAAAUCCCGGGGCUCAACCCCGGAACUGCAUCCGAUACUGCCAUGCUUGAGGGUUGGAGAGGUAGCUGGAAUUCUCGGUGUAGCAGUGAAAUGCGUGGAUAUCGAGAGGAACACUCGUGGCGAAGGCGAGCUACUGGACAACAUCUGACGCUGAGGCUCGAAGGCCAGGGGAGCAAAAGGGAUUAGAUACCCGAGUAGUCC